rnacentral:lncRNA from 1 species
AUAUGCGACAUUCAUUCGUGGCCUGUUAUCUUCUUUCUUCUCCUCUGCACACACGAAUCACACAACUCACAGAGAAAUCACAUAUCACAGAUACUCGCAAAACGCUAUACAACAUCAACCAUACAUUUAUGAAGAACUAACCUCUCGAAGAAGACCUAAGUCGUGAAGCACUGGCCAUCGCACACACUGUCCCACCGUCUCACCGCUGCACCGCCCAAAUGACCACCAGAGUUAAAGGGGUGGGAAAGAAUUUUGGGAUGAAAAUGUGAGACUAAGAGUUGGAGGUGCUAAUGAAAGGUUGGGCUUCGCAGUAAAAAUGGCUUAUUAGUGAAUAUGAAUAGAAAUUAAGGUUUGAAUAAAUAAAAUUAAAAAGUAAAAAAAUAAAGUUAAAAAAGUAAAAAAAAG